rnacentral:tRNA from 1 species
UGGCGUAGUUGGCUACACGUUCGCUUGAUAAGCGGAUGGUCAUGGGUUAGAUUCCCAU